rnacentral:rRNA from 1 species
GACGAACGCUGGCGGCGUGCUUAACACAUGCAAGUCGUACGGUAAGGCCCUUUCGGGGGUACACGAGUGGCGAACGGGUGAGUAACACGUGAGUAACCUGCCCACAACUUUGGGAUAACGCUAGGAAACUGGUGCUAAUACUGGAUAUGUGCUCCUGCUGCAUGGUGGGGGUUGGAAAGCUCCGGCGGUUGUGGAUGGACUCGCGGCCUAUCAGCUUGUUGGUGGGGUAGUGGCAUACCAAGGCGGCGACGGGUAGCCGGCCUGAGAGGGUGACCAGCCACAUUGGGACUGAGAUACGGCCCAGACUCCUACGGGAGGCAGCAGUGGGGAAUAUUGCCCAAUGGGCGCAAGCCUGAUGCAGCAACGCCGCGUGCGGGAUGACGGCCUUCGGGUUGUAAACCGCUUUCAGCAGGGACGAAGCUUUUUGUGACGGUACCUGCAGAAGAAGCACCGGCUAACUACGUG